rnacentral:rRNA from 1 species
UACGUAGGGGGCAAGCGUUGUCCGGAAUCAUUGGGCGUAAAGCGCGCGUAGGCGGCCCGGUAAGUCCGCUGUGAAAGUCCAGGGCUCAACCCUGGAAAGCCGGUGGAUACUGCCGGGCUAGAGUCCGGAAGAGGCGAGUGGAAUUCCUGGUGUAGCGGUGGAAUGCGCAGAUAUCAGGAGGAACACCGGUGGCGAAGGCGGUUCUCUGGGCAUUACCUGACGCUGGAGGAGCGAAAGCGUGGGGAGCAAACAGG